rnacentral:rRNA from 1 species
AUUGAACGCUGGCGGCAGGCUUAACACAUGCAAGUCGAGCGGGGGAAGGUAGCUUGCUACUGGACCUAGCGGCGGACGGGUGAGUAAUGCUUAGGAAUCUGCCUAUUAGUGGGGGACAACAUCUCGAAAGGGAUGCUAAUACCGCAUACGUCCUACGGGAGAAAGCAGGGGAUCUUCGGACCUUGCGCUAAUAGAUGAGCCUAAGUCGGAUUAGCUAGUUGGUGGGGUAAAGGCCUACCAAGGCGACGAUCUGUAGCGGGUCUGAGAGGAUGACACGCCAAACUGGGACUGAGACACGGCCCGGACUCCUACGGGAGGCAGCAGUGGGGAAUAUUGGACAAUGGGGGGAACCCUGAUCCAGCCAUGCCGCGUGUGUGAAGAAGGCCUUAUGGUUGUAAAGCACUUUAAGCGAGGAGGAGGCUACUCUAGUUAAUACCUAGGGAUAGUGGACGUUACUCGCAGAAUAAGCACCGGCUAACUCUGUGCCAGCCGCCGCCGUAA